rnacentral:rRNA from 1 species
UACGGAGGAUGCGAGCGUUAUCCGGAUUUAUUGGGUUUAAAGGGUGCGUAGGCGGUAUUUUAAGUUAGUGGUAAAACGUCGGGGCUUCACCUUGAUUGGCCAUUAAAACUGGAGUACUAGAGUACAGACGAGGUAGGCGGAAUAAGUUAAGUAGCGGUGAAAUGCUUAGAUAUCAGGAGGAACACCGGCGGCGAAGGCGGCUUACUGGACUGUAACUGACGUUGAGGCUCGAAGGCGUGGGGAGCAAACAGG